CUCCUUAGGCCUGGUUGGAGGGGGAGUGGGGAUCAAAAAGGAGAAAGCCCCGCAGGGCAAUGCGACAAGGCUACACAUGACUACUUCUCAAGGAAAUAGGAAAGCUGAGCUCAGAAAGACUGGUGGAGGACCACCUCCUCAAGAACUGAAGAAUUGGGAGAAGAAGAGCGUAUCUAUCCUCUCAGAUGUCAUUUCUGGUGUGGAUGGGGGUUUUGACUCUUUGUGCACAGCAAGUUUUUCAACAGAUA